AGCCUGGACAACAAAAAAGAUUAAAUAUUUUCACUCUUUAUUUCCUUCCUGUGUUGGGCUUAAUUCACUUCGUUUUUUUCUAACUUAAGAUAGGCGCUCAUUGAUUUGGGUUUCCAGAUAUCUUUUAAUUAUUGAUUUCUAAUUUAAGUCCUUUAUGUUCAAAGAACAUACUCUAAUUUGAAGCCUUUGAAACAUGAGACCUGUUUUAUGGCUAGUUAUACAGUUUAUAUUGGCAAACGUUCCAUGUGCAUUGAAUUAAGGAAUGUGUAUUCUAUGGUGGUUGAGUGGAAUGUUCAAUAACUGUCACUUAGGUCAGAGAGGUGGAUAGUGUUGUUCAAAACUCUAUGUGUCUUUACUGAUUUUUUUUUUUUUGGUCUACUUUUAAAAUCCUUUAUUGAGAAAAAAUGUUGCUUUCCAACUCCAAUUGUGGAUUUGUGAAUUCCCUUUCGUUCUGUCAGGUUUUGCUUCAUAUUUUUUAUAUUUAUAUUAUUAGGUAUGUACACAUUUAGGAUUAUAAAGAAUUGACCCUUUUAAACAUUAUACAUGUAUUUCUUCAUUUCUGAUAAUUCUCUUUGUUUGCAGUGUAUUUUACCUUAUUGAUAUAGUCUUUUCAGCUUUCGUGUGGUUAGUAUUUGUGUGGGAGAACUUUUUCCAUCCUUUUAUUAUUUUUUUAACCCAUACAAUGUACCUCUUAUAAAGAACACAUAAUUGGGUCUGGCUUUUUGAAUCCAGUCAGAAUCUGCUUUUGAAUUAGUGUUUAUUCCAUUUAUACUUAAUAUAUUAUUUAUGUAAUUGGGUCUAAAUCUGUUUUAUAGCUUUUUUUUUUUAGUCUCAUAUCAUUUUUUUUCCAUUUCAUGCCUUCUUUUGAAUUAAUCAGGUAUUUAAGAUUCUAUUUUUAUGUCAUCCAUUACACACACACACACACACACACACACACACACACAAACAUGCUUUAAGUUAUUGUUUUGAUGGUUAGAAUUUUCAUCCCUAUCACAAUCUACCCUGAAAGAAUAUAUCAUUUCAUGUAUAAUAUAAGCUGUUUCAACAAUAUACUUCAAUUUAUCUUCUCCCGGUCUUCAUUCUGUUGCUGUCAUAUAUCUUACUGCUAUAUAUGUUAUAAACCUCACAAUACAUUGGUAUUAUUUUUGCUUUAAACAGUCAGUUGUCCUAAAGAAAUUAACAAAUUAGAUUCCUUUUAUUCGCUCAUAUGCUGACCAUUUCCAAUAUUCUUCAUUUCUUUCUUAUAUGUCUGAUAUCUUUCUAGUAUUGUUUCCCUUCAGCAUGAAGGAAUCUUAACAUUUUUUUGUAGGGUAGGCCUGCUAGUGACAAAUUCUUGCAGCUUUUGUUUAUCAGAAGGCAUCUCUAUUCUGCCUUUAUUUCAAAAGGAAAUUUUUGCUGGAUAUCGAAUUUUAGGUUGACUCUUUCUUUACACCAAAGAUGUCAUUCCAUUGUCUUGUAGCCUGAAUUGUUUCUGAUGAGAAGUUAUAGAAUAUUCCCCUGCAUGUGCUGGUUUCUCCUUCCCUUUGGAUGCUAUAAAAUUUUCAGUUUAUUUUGGUUUUCAGCAAUUUGACUGGGUUGUGGUUAGGUGUGAUUGUCUUUGUUGAUCCUUCUUGGGGUUUCUUGAACUUAUUUUGUCUGUGGAUUGAUAUUUUUUUCAUCAGUUUGGAAGAAGUUUGGCCCAUAUUUCUUCUCACUCAACCUAUCUCCUUUGCUUUUAUAACUCCAGUUACAUAUAAGUCAGAUUGCUUGAUAUUGUCCUAGAGGUCACGAGGCUCUGUUCAUUUUUUUUUUUUUAAUCUUUAGUGUUCCUUUCUCUCUGUACUUCAAUGUGGAUAAUUUAUAGUAACCUAUCUUUAAAUUCACUAAACCCUUCUGUAAUGUACAAUCUGUUGUGAGCUCACCCAAUGACUUUUUUAUUUCAGAUAAUUUUUACUUUCAGACUUUCCAUUUGGACUUUUUAAUGGUUUUUGUUUCUCUGAGAUUUCCCAUCUGUUCACUAAUUGUUUCCAUAUUUUUCUUAAAUCCUAAAGCAUAUUUAUAAUAGCUUUUAAAAAUGUUUUUGUCUGGUAUUUCUGACAUCUUUGUCAUCGUUUGGCCUGUUUAUAUUGACUGACUGGCCUCCUGGGUAUGGGUCACAGCUUCCUACAUCUUAAUGUGUUUAGCCACUUUUUAUUCUAUGCCACACAUUGUGGAUGCUACUUUUUUGAGAUUCUAGGUUCAUCUACUUUGAAACAGUUUUUCUCCCCUCUUUUUGUUGAGCUGUCAGCUGCUGCUACUUGUAGCUGUCAGAAUACUUGCCUCUGGCUACCGUAUUCUCUACUAUUCCUUCUUUGUUAUUUUCUAACCUGCAGUUGGCUAGGAAAUCAUUUAAUCUAGCUUAUUAGCCUUAUAUGUAAAGUAUAAAUAAGCAGACAUUAAAUAGAUCCCUGAAGACCCCUGAAUCAAAUGCAUGAACUUCAAUGUACAGGUCUUUGCAUAAUUUAGAUAUUUAAAGAUUCUACUUAUUUUUUGUAAUUGGCAUUGGAUGAGUGAAAUAUAAUUUUGUGUUGAAACUAUGACCUGAAGAGAGACAACAGUUCUCCAAAGGGCUCCUAAUUUCUGGCUGAGAUCAUCCUAAGUUAUUUGUGUAUUUUUUGCUCAUCUGCUUGUAGCUGUUAGAAGAAAUGUUUAUUGAUAAUUGUCAUGUCCCAGUAGCCUCUAUCAGUGUGACUUUCAGUAUUUUAUAACCUGUCAAAUACUUUCUCUGGGAUUUUUACCUUAAGCCUAAUGACUACUUUUUAAAACUUAGUUUGUAAAUCCUCAUACUAAAAACACUUUUAAAAAGAUAAUCAUUUAUAUAAAUCAAAUUGCUGAAUUGGUGAUCAGAGGGAAGCUAAGUAGCUGAAGGAGUUUCUAAGGCACCUUCUGUGAGGUCUGAUCUCUUGUCUCCUCAUUCAGUAAAUUUCAGUGUGAAGUAAAUAUUGUAUUUUAUUGUAAAGGCUGUCUUUCAUUUCAUUUGUCUGAUUUGGGAUGGGUGAAGGGAUUCAAUCAAAGUUUUAAGUCUCUUAUUUAAGAUCCCUCUCCCCCAUCCUUAUUCUUGGAAUGAACUUUUAAGAGGUUAAACCUAAACUUUGCCAAGUAAAUGCUGAUUUCCUGGGAAGACAUUUCAGCACCUUUUCUGUUUUUCAGUACUUGUGUUUUGCACCUAAAUCAGCAAACCUUCCUCCUUUCCAACUCUCCCGGAAGCCAUUCUCCAUGUCUGUCACAUACCUUACAGAGCUCUGGAGUAGUCUUGUUUUUUAAUUAUAAGAAUCAAUGAGGAAAAGAAGACUUUAGUUUCUUCCUUUCAGAACCAGACCUUAGAGAACAACCUAUAAAAUAGAAUCAAUUUUGCUGCUUCAGAGUAUAAGGAAACCCUUUAUAGAGGAAGGUUCAUGUUUUGCCAGAAUAAUAGCAGCUCAGUCUAGAGACUUCUCUAGCAAUUUCAGAUACUGGCUUUUUUUUUUUUUUGUAUAUAAUUAGGUGAUGGGUAGAGACCCCACACUAACGUGCACUCAGAGGUGGUAUUGUUUAAUAACUUCCCUGUAAUCAUGCUAGGAUAUCUGUGCCUGAUUAUUGAUCCUUGAGUAGCUAAAAAUGGUGCCAGAGUAGUAUCAAUCCAGAUGGAGCUGAGGGAGACCAAUGUUAGACAUUUCUGUGAUUAGGCACUGGAGUAGAUUACAGCAUGAUAAGGUUCUCUCUUCUCUGAGUAAAGUGCUCUUCAGCUUGGCGCUAAUAGGAGCAGGAUUCAGGCUUGUCAGCUCUGGAACUUGUAGUCAACUUGCCUUUUAGAGACAGGUUUCGGACUCUGUACAGCCUGUAAUCUUUCAAAUGUAAGAAUCCCCAGGGAGUUUGCUUUGAAAGGGAGUCUGGGUUAGAUUGGAAGAAUGCCUCCUGGACAGAUCAGGUCAAUAAUUUCCAGUGUUCAGGAUAUUCUUAGGGCCCAGACAUCCUCUUAAAAGUUUAGCUGAUUCAGCAAACAUCCUUGUGGCAUGCAAGGGAUGGGUUCUCAUCCUGUUUUAUGGCUGAGAGAAUGAAGACCCUGAAAAGGGAAGUGACCAACCCCAGGUCCCACCAGCUUAAAUUGGGAGGCAUUGACAUAAACCUCCUCUCCUCACUCCAAGGGUGAUGUUCUUUCUGUGACAUCAUCUGAAGGCUUGUGGGUGAUAACUUAGGGGAAGAGUUUUCACUUUGGAAUAGAAGAUAGUAGAAUCUGUCAUAGCCUAGAUAGGCAUUCAAAAGAACCGGCCUUGUGAAUCUUUAGACCUUUAGACGGGGGACUCUACCCUGUAUUGCAGUCUGGAAUUGCCCAGGGGGUUAUAGUAAAUACUGAAGCCCGAGUUCCUCCAGUUGCAUCAGAGAUGCAGAUAUAAUUGGUCUGGGGUGCAGCCUGAGCAGGGGGAUUGAAGAAACUUUAGAACGAACCUAUGGCAAUUUUGUCUUAGCCUCGGCUUAUAGCUUUUCCGGCUGAAGUUCCCUUUGACCCACUUAUGGAAGAGGUUGGAAAUUUUCUGUAUUUAUUAAGACCUGCACCGAAAUUGAGUCAGAAAACAGCUGGAGAAAAGACUCAGUUAAAACUGAGUUUUCCAGAGUUAAGAGUAGACGUGGUUCACAUGAUCUGGAUAAGUCAUGAAUUUAUUGAAACUUUAAGGGAGUUAUUGAAAAUGCCAACCAUCGAUUGAGUCUCAGUUGCCGUGAGCUGAAGGAAAGACGAAGACGCGUCUCUGGCUUUGAGGGAUCUUAUUGUGUAAUCUUGCCAUGUACCUGAAUCACUUCUAACAACAUACAGGUGCAUGGAUGUAGGGAAAUGGCUUGGCUGCAUAAAUAUUUGCCUGUCCCACCUAAAUCUUUUUUGAGGAAGCAGCCAGGACAUAAACAGCUGAAAUGAAAAUAUUUGCUUGUCCAGAAGUCGAUUUCCCCACAGGCCAUUGCCCUCCUUCCUGUGGCUGCCUCUGCUGUUCUCAUUAGCGGAGCAGCCUUUCCCUGUUGCUGUCUAGGCCUUACAGAGAUCCUGAGGGCAACAAAGCCAGUGGUCACCUGUAAAAUCCAGUAAGUGAUUGAUGCUCAGGAAAUAGGAGAUAUUAAAGAAGUGAAAGAGCCUAACCCAGCCCCAGGUGUUCUGCCUCUGCAGCUGUGCUCUGCUGUUUCAUCUCUGCCAUGCCAGGUGCGAGAUGUGGCUUCACCUGAGAAUUGCUGACCCAGGUUGAUCAGAUCAAAUCUAUCCAGGCCACCUCUGGCAGAGGCAGCAGAAAAUGAGAAUAUGCUGUGGAUUAGGGUGAGAAUCCUCCCAGGGCUUAGUGAUGGUCCCUUGGAGAGCUCCGUUUCUAUCCAAGAAACCUGUGAAUUCUCAACCUUUGCCAACUUGCAAUCUUUCUUCAAUCUGCCCCAACUAUUUCUAGCAAAUUCUUUGGUUAAUGCAGCAUAGAAAACACAUUCUAUUUGUCCCAGACGUAUUUCAUUCCAGCUUCAAGGGGUGGACAUUGAACCUAAGAGUGUUCAUAGAGAGUCAGACUUGAGAGAAUAAAUUUCUCUCUGUUAAAUCAUAUAUGAAACCAUGCUUGCUCCCAGGCUGCUGGCGGCAGGAAGCAGUGAUGAGGAUGGAGCUUGGCAGAUGGCUGUAGCUGUGGUUUCCUGGAGGCCUGUGUGGGGAGAUGAUGGGCCUUACUUUGUUCUUACUGUGUGCCAGGCAGUGCCCUACAUGCUGAGGAUGAAAAGGUCUGAUGGGUGCACCAUGGUAGCACCAUGGAGAUGCUAGAUAAAGCAGAACACUCAGAGCCGUUCCUCCACCACCUUUCUGGAGACGAGAUGCAUCUCUGUUGUUGCCACACACUGAAGAUUCACAGGCUAGCUCCUUCAUCAGGGAAGAAGUUUCAUCUUCAUUGCUGUCGAGGAAAGGAAGACAUUGCAGACUGGUGAUGAUGUAUUUCGUCUUUACUCAGUGACCACAAGCACAGGGUGCCCAAAUAGGUAACACCAUGUUCUUCUCAGUUUUUGCCUGGGAUCGUCACUCCAAUGGUAGUCUUCACUUGAAACCAAGCCCGGACAUUGAAGGGAGAGUCAUUUGGCAAAGUUCCUGCUGAAACUGUCAUCCAAGUGGCAUUCUGUCUAAGUGGUAUUCUGGCUCCAGCCAUCCUUCCAGAUUUCCCCGAUAUCCGAGCCCUCACUGCUACCACAGGAGCCGCCCGACUUCCUGGCCGGCCUGGGUUUGAGCACAGCUCCUCAGCUGGGCUGCAUGUCUAAGGAGGUCUUGAAGCCUCUGAUGCCACAGCAGUCCCUGUCUCUGGCACCAAGUCAUCUUGGCUUUUACUGUCGUGCCCAAAUCAUUCUGAGUUUUCUUCAGUGGUGUGAGCAUCUUAAAGAAUGAAUGUUAAGGUCUGCUUAUUCCGUGGGAUAGCAGGUGAGAUGGGGCCGGUGCACGUCAAUUCCAGUUCACCAUUGCAGAACUGAGAAGUGUGCAGAGACUUUCUUCUCUGUAUUCGCUGUGUUUUCGGCAGCCAGUGCUGGGCCACUUAGCUUCCUCGGAGAGGUGCGGAAAGCUAACCCAAGUUCCUGUCCCUUCUUCCAUGCUGGUCCCCGCAGGGCUUAUGCUAGAGGACUCUGUGGCCAUCUCACCAGCUAUGCCGAAAUGCAUCUGACUUCUGACUGUUCCUGUGUGCGGUGCCACCUCCCUGCUGGACCCAGGCCUGGCCACUUGGAGACAGUGCCCUCAUUGUCCUGGGCUUUCCAGGCUGCAGAAGGACCGAGGACCUGCAUAGACGGCUAUGGGAAGUGGUGGCUUUUAAAUUGUGGUAAAAUAUAUAUAACAUAAAAACA